GUGGGGAAUAUUGGACAAUGGGCGAAAGCCUGAUCCAGCCAUGCCGCGUGUGUGAAGAAGGUCUUCGGAUUGUAAAGCACUUUAAGUUGGGAGGAAGGGCAGUAAGUUAAUACCUUGCUGUUUUGACGUUACCGACAGAAUAAGCACCGGCUAACUUCGUGCCAGCAGCCGCGGUAAUACGAAGGGUGCACGCGUUAAUCGGAAUUACUGGGCGUAACGCGCGCGUAGGUGGUUUUGUAAGUUGGAGGUGAAAUCCCCGGGCUCAACCUGGGAACUGCCUCCAAAACUGCAUGACUAGAGUACGGUAGAGGGUAGUGGAAUUUCCUGUGUAGCGGUGAAAUGCGUAGAUAUAGGAAGGAACACCAGUGGCGAAGGCGACUACCUGGACUGAUACUGACACUGAGGUGCGAAAGCGUGGGGAGCAAACAGGAUUAGAAACCCUGGUAGUCC
rnacentral:rRNA from 1 species